GACGAACGCUGGCGGCGUGCUUAACACAUGCAAGUCGAACGGAAAGGCCUCUUUCGGGGGGUACUCGAGUGGCGAACGGGUGAGUAACACGUGAGUAACCUGCCCUUGACUUUGGGAUAACUUCAGGAAACUGGGGCUAAUACCGGAUAGGAGCUCCUGCUGCAUGGUGGGGGUUGGAAAGUUUCGGCGGUUGGGGAUGGACUCGCGGCUUAUCAGCUUGUUGGUGGGGUAGUGGCUUACCAAGGCUUUGACGGGUAGCCGGCCUGAGAGGGUGACCGGCCACAUUGGGACUGAGAUACGGCCCAGACUCCGACGGGAGGCAGCAGUGGGGAAGAUUGCACAAUGGGUGGAAGCCUGAUGCAGCAACGCCGUGUGCGGGAUGACGGCCUUCGGGUUGUAAACCGCUUUCGCUCAUGACGAAGCUUUGUGUGACGGUAGUGGGUAAAGAAGCACCGGCUAACUACGUG
rnacentral:rRNA from 1 species